GUUGUUUCAUGUUGUAAGCGAACGCAUUGGCAUAGUCUUGUUAGUUACUCCAUAUAGAUAUACACGAAGGUUCUACCGAAUGACAUGUUAAAGCAAAGUUAUCUAAAACAGAAUUCCCUUCUCGCACAACCACCGUCUGACUCUCAGGUUUAUCUACACGACCUCGAGCUAAAGGAGGACUUUUAAAAUUCCUUGACAUCAACUGCUCUCUAUUAAGUGUCUAUUUUUUUUUCUCUUUACAAUACAUCAUUAGAACACCACUUUGGUUUAAUUUGUACAUCUUCACACUAGACAUCGUUCGAUUUAGUUGCCUGCUGAUUCAGCGUAUACAAGGCGGGGGGAUUCAUCUACAGUAGAAGGUCUAUGACAUCAUCCCAAGUAGAUUUACAAAAGUACUUUCACUCCGAGUGGACCAGAUAUAGAAAUGAACAACUAUCAGCUGACGCUGCGAUCGAGUUAAAUGCAGAUUAUUUAGAAAAGAUUACUUUAUAAUAUAUGAAAUCUGACCCGUGGAUGCACUAUGAACGUUCAAAUAUCUAUCUGAAUAACACGGAAAAAGGAACAAAAAAAAAAAACAAACAGUAAUACCUUAUUAUUUUUAAUUUUUUUUUUUA